rnacentral:rRNA from 1 species
CCUACGGGUGGCAGCAGUGGGGAAUAUUGCACAAUGGGGGAAACCCUGAUGCAGCGACGCCGCGUGAGUGAAGAAGUAAUUCGGUAUGUAAAGCUCUAUCAGCAGGGAAGAAGAUGACGGUACCUGAGUAAGAAGCCCCGGCUAACUACGUGCCAGCAGCCGCGGUAAUACGUAGGGGGCAAGCGUUAUCCGGAUUUACUGGGUGUAAAGGGAGCGUAGACGGCAGUGCAAGUCUGGAGUGAAAGGCGGGGGCUCAACCCCCGGACUGCUCUGGAAACUGUACGGCUGGAGUGCAGGAGGGGCAAGCGGAAUUCCUAGUGUAGCGGUGAAAUGCGUAGAUAUUAGGAGGAACACCAGUGGCGAAGGCGGCUUGCUGGACUGUAACUGACGUUGAGGCUCGAAAGCGUGGGGAGCAAACAGGAUUAGAUACCCCAGUAGUC